ACAAAUCAAUAAGAAUAGCAUUUUAUAAAGGAGGUUAGGGGAGGAACAAAAGAUUCGAAUAGGCAUUUUACCGAAAGAAGAUAUCCAAAUGGCCAACGGGUACCUAAAAAUGGAUACAUAAACUAUGAGAUAUUCAUAUAAUGGAAUACUACAUAGCAAUAAAAAAGAACUGCUGCACUCAACAUUUAUGUGUCUCACAAAGAACAUGGACACAAAAAAAGUAUAUACUGUACAAUCACAUGUUUAUGAAGUUCAAGAUCUAUGGCGAUAUUAGUCAGAAUAGUGGUCCCCAAUGUGUGCCAAAGCCUGUGACAGUUGUGAUGCAUGAAAGUGUUUCUGCAGCACCUGGAGGCCCACCCCACCCUGCCACAAAACCACUUCUUUGACUUUUUGGAAUACAGCCAGGAUGUGAGCUGGGCUAGAGCACAGGGAUCACCCCUAGGGGUGAGAGGCCGGGCUCUAGGCGGGCUGAAGCCUCUCGUCAGCUCUGCAGUGGCAUGUGCCUGCAGUGGGAGGUGCAAAUACCCACUCCAACAUCAUACCCUCCCCACGUGUGCCUCAGCUGAGUACCGGAGGAAAGAACAGAAAGGAGAUCCUUGGGGGUUUUCUGAGGAAUACAGGCUGUCCUCGGGUUAUGUCGGAUUUGACGUACGUCGUUUCAUGGUUACGUUGCCAUCCCCCAUUUAUUUAUAAAAAAAAAAAGUUCCAUCAUUUCAACGUAUGUACAUAUGUGCUUUUAUGUUUUUUCAUUAUUUACUAGAGGCCCAGUGCACUAAAUUUACACAGGUAGGGUCCCUAGCAGCUGCCGGCUGCUGGCUGGGGCCUCCCUUCCCCUGGCAGCCUGCCACCGCCACCUGGUUAACUCCCAGUUGAACUCCCGGUUGAGGGGACAAUUUGCAUAUUAGGCUUUUAUUGUAUAGGAUUUACCACAAGUAUAGGUCAGGAAUUGUUAUCUUUUAAAGUUUUCUUACUGUUUCAUUUCAUUACUGCUGUGUAUGUGCUCCAUGUGAGUGACGUAGGUGCUUAGGUAGGUGGGUUCUGACUUACGGCGAAAAUCGUGUUAUGUCGUGCUGUCGGAACGGAUCUCUGAGGUAACCCAAGGACCUACUGUAUUGUGAAGUCUGCAGAUGAAGCCCUCAUCACUGGCAUGUCAGGGCUCAGGGUGACAAGCUGUGGGGCUGCUUUCUGGAUUCACCCCAGGGCCUUAGAUCCACAGGAAAGAUCGAAGCUAAGGGUGGCAGUGGGAGGAAAGCCACUGUGGGGCCUGGCCUAGAGGAAGAUUGUGCCACUCUUGGUUGUCUGUGGUGCCAUGCUCUUGGUCACAGUGGAUUUUAUCUUACUCCCUUAGGUGGAUGACUUUGACCAAGAGGACCUUCCUGCUGGAAUACCACACCCACGUCCGGGAUGCCUGCCUGCGAGAAGACUGAGUCAUGCACCCCCACAAGUGUACACAGGGCCCAAGGAGCCCUGGAUUCCCUGCCCCCUCUCCCUGGUGGUUUGGUUCCCCAGGAGAGAAGAGAGUGGGAAUGCCCUGUGUCUGUCCAUGGCCACAAACACCAGAGGUGAGGCUUGACAUUCAGACCAAUGGGUUCUGAUGGAGGCCUGGCAGACAAUUCUAUUCCUAUUCUAUUCCUUCACUAAGUUGUCUGGGAACACAGGAAGUCAACCAGCUAAAAAGGUGAGAAAUGCCCAGCUGGCGUGGCUCAGUGGUUGAGUGUUGACCUAUGAACCAGGAGGUCACAGUUCAGUUCUCCGUCAGAGCACAUGCACCGGUUGUGGGAUUGGCCCCAAGUAGGGGGCAUGCAAGAGGAAGCCAGUCAAUGAUUCUAAUCAUUGAUGUUUCUAUCCCUUCCUCUCUGAAGUCAAUAAAGAUAUAUAUAAACAAGUGUGAGGAUUCCCUCACCCCCCUGCUGCCCUUUCUCUAUAGGUUCAUCUGUGGAAACCUAUCUCUCUGCUCUAGGUGGGAGCUGGGAAACAGGAGAGGGAGAUUUCCCCAGGGGUGGGGUAAGGACUGGGAAGCUUUAAGCAGCCACGUAAGGCCCCUGCCCUAACUCCUCCCCACUGCCUCUUAGGAGCUGCCUCAAAUUGGCAGAAUUCUUUGAAAGACGGAAGUGUGAGUACUGCCUUCUACGUUGAAAGGCCACACAAGGAUCCCUUGCAGGGAAGAAUCCUGGGAAUGGGUAAAGCUCCAGGAUAAUUUUGGAAUCUUCAUGACUUCUUGACUUACCCUCCAGACUAGUUUAAUAAAGAGGUGAGUGGAGACAGAGAUCCAGCCUCAAGUGUGUGUGGUGAUGGAGGAUGGGAACGGGGCCGGGCGAGGCAUUUACAGGGAUGUGCCUGUGCCUCUGGCAGUCUGCACUGUGCUGCCAACAUCCUGCCCCAGAUCUACUCUUUCCGAACUCUUCUCCAAGAGUCACUGGUGUGCGCCAGUCUUUCUAAAAUGUGUUGGACCACAUCUCUUCCCUGCUCAAGACCCUUCAGUGACCCUGUCCCUUCCAGAAACUGCCCAAGACAUAAAGCACAAACUGGCCACUGCCAUCCAAGGGUUCCCACUGAGCUUCCUGCUACCCAAGCUCAUACCAGAUUUGCACACCUGCAAAACCUUUGGUGGUUGUCUCAUUCCUACCCAACCCCCAAGAUCCAGAUCAGAUCCCACCUCGUAUGUGAAGCCUUCCCUGGCCUGAACAUCAGGGUUUCACCUAAUAGUUAUCAAACGAUGAUGGAUAUUUAUGAGUAGUAGCCCCCAGCCCUUAGCUG